rnacentral:rRNA from 2 species
GGGUUGUGAGGUUAAGCGACUAAGCGUACACGGUGGAUGCCCUGGCAGUCAGAGGCGAUGAAGGACGUGCUAAUCUGCGAUAAGCGUCGGUAAGGUGAUAUGAACCGUUAUAACCGGCGAUUUCCGAAUGGGGAAACCCAGUGUGAUUCGUCACACUAUCAUUAACUGAAUCCAUAGGUUAAUGAGGCGAACCGGGGGAACUGAAACAUCUAAGUACCCCGAGGAAAAGAAAUCAACCGAGAUUCCCCCAGUAGCGGCGAGCGAACGGGGAGCAGCCCAGAGCCUGAAUCAGUGUGUGUGUUAGUGGAAGCGUCUGGAAAGGCGUGCGAUACAGGGUGACAGCCCCGUACACAAAAAUGCACAUACUGUGAGCUCGAUGAGUAGGGCGGGACACGUGGUAUCCUGUCUGAAUAUGGGGGGACCAUCCUCCAAGGCUAAAUACUCCUGACUGACCGAUAGUGAACCAGUACCGUGAGGGAAAGGCGAAAAGAACCCCGGCGAGGGGAGUGAAAAAGAACCUGAAACCGUGUACGUACAAGCAGUGGGAGCACGCUUAGGCGUGUGACUGCGUACCUUUUGUAUAAUGGGUCAGCGACUUAUAUUCUGUAGCAAGGUUAACCGAAUAGGGGAGCCGAAGGGAAACCGAGUCUUAACUGGGCGUUAAGUUGCAGGGUAUAGACCCGAAACCCGGUGAUCUAGCCAUGGGCAGGUUGAAGGUUGGGUAACACUAACUGGAGGACCGAACCGACUAAUGUUGAAAAAUUAGCGGAUGACUUGUGGCUGGGGGUGAAAGGCCAAUCAAACCGGGAGAUAGCUGGUUCUCCCCGAAAGCUAUUUAGGUAGCGCCUCGUGAAUUCAUCUCCGGGGGUAGAGCACUGUUUCGGCAAGGGGGUCAUCCCGACUUACCAACCCGAUGCAAACUGCGAAUACCGGAGAAUGUUAUUACGGGAGACACACGGCGGGUGCUAACGUCCGUCGUGAAGAGGGAAACAACCCAGACCGCCAGCUAAGGUCCCAAAGUCAUGGUUAAGUGGGAAACGAUGUGGGAAGGCCCAGACAGCCAGGAUGUUGGCUUAGAAGCAGCCAUCAUUUAAAGAAAGCGUAAUAGCUCACUGGUCGAGUCGGCCUGCGCGGAAGAUGUAACGGGGCUAAACCAUGCACCGAAGCUGCGGCAGCGACGCUUAUGCGUUGUUGGGUAGGGGAGCGUUCUGUAAGCCUGUGAAGGUGUGCUGUGAGGUAUGCUGGAGGUAUCAGAAGUGCGAAUGCUGACAUAAGUAACGAUAAAGCGGGUGAAAAGCCCGCUCGCCGGAAGACCAAGGGUUCCUGUCCAACGUUAAUCGGGGCAGGGUGAGUCGACCCCUAAGGCGAGGCCGAAAGGCGUAGUCGAUGGGAAACAGGUUAAUAUUCCUGUACUUGGUGUUACUGCGAAGGGGGGACGGAGAAGGCUAUGUUGGCCGGGCGACGGUUGUCCCGGUUUAAGCGUGUAGGCUGGUUUUCCAGGCAAAUCCGGAAAAUCAAGGCCGAGGCGUGAUGACGAGGCACUACGGUGCUGAAGCAACAAAUGCCCUGCUUCCAGGAAAAGCCUCUAAGCAUCAGGUAACAUCAAAUCGUACCCCAAACCGACACAGGUGGUCAGGUAGAGAAUACCAAGGCGCUUGAGAGAACUCGGGUGAAGGAACUAGGCAAAAUGGUGCCGUAACUUCGGGAGAAGGCACGCUGAUACGUAGGUGAAGCGACUUGCUCGUGGAGCUGAAAUCAGUCGAAGAUACCAGCUGGCUGCAACUGUUUAUUAAAAACACAGCACUGUGCAAACACGAAAGUGGACGUAUACGGUGUGACGCCUGCCCGGUGCCGGAAGGUUAAUUGAUGGGGUUAGCGCAAGCGAAGCUCUUGAUCGAAGCCCCGGUAAACGGCGGCCGUAACUAUAACGGUCCUAAGGUAGCGAAAUUCCUUGUCGGGUAAGUUCCGACCUGCACGAAUGGCGUAAUGAUGGCCAGGCUGUCUCCACCCGAGACUCAGUGAAAUUGAACUCGCUGUGAAGAUGCAGUGUACCCGCGGCAAGACGGAAAGACCCCGUGAACCUUUACUAUAGCUUGACACUGAACAUUGAGCCUUGAUGUGUAGGAUAGGUGGGAGGCUUUGAAGUGUGGACGCCAGUCUGCAUGGAGCCGACCUUGAAAUACCACCCUUUAAUGUUUGAUGUUCUAACGUGGACCCGUGAUCCGGGUUGCGGACAGUGUCUGGUGGGUAGUUUGACUGGGGCGGUCUCCUCCUAAAGAGUAACGGAGGAGCACGAAGGUUGGCUAAUCCUGGUCGGACAUCAGGAGGUUAGUGCAAUGGCAUAAGCCAGCUUGACUGCGAGCGUGACGGCGCGAGCAGGUGCGAAAGCAGGUCAUAGUGAUCCGGUGGUUCUGAAUGGAAGGGCCAUCGCUCAACGGAUAAAAGGUACUCCGGGGAUAACAGGCUGAUACCGCCCAAGAGUUCAUAUCGACGGCGGUGUUUGGCACCUCGAUGUCGGCUCAUCACAUCCUGGGGCUGAAGUAGGUCCCAAGGGUAUGGCUGUUCGCCAUUUAAAGUGGUACGCGAGCUGGGUUUAGAACGUCGUGAGACAGUUCGGUCCCUAUCUGCCGUGGGCGCUGGAGAACUGAGGGGGGCUGCUC